rnacentral:rRNA from 1 species
CCUACGGGUGGCAGCAGUCGAGAAUUAUUCACAAUGGGGGAAACCCUGAUGGGGCGACGCCGCGUGGGGGAAUGAAGGUCUACGGAUUGUAAACCCCUGUCAUGUGGGAGCAAAUUAAAAAGAUAGUACCACAAGAGGAAGAGACGGCUAACUCUGUGCCAGCAGCCGCGGGAAUACAGAGGUCUCAAGCGUUGUUCGGAAUCACUGGGCGUAAAGCGUGCGUAGGCUGUUUCGUAAGUCGUGUGUGAAAGGCGCGGGCUCAACCCGCGGACGGCACAUGAUACUGGGAGACUAGAGUAAUGGAGGGGGAACCGGAAUUCUCGGUGUAGCAGUGAAAUGCGUAGAUAUCGCGAGGAACACUCGUGGCGAAGGCGGGUUCCUGGACAUUAACUGACGCUGAGGCACGAAGGCCAGGGGAGCGAAAAGGAUUAGAUACCCCAGUAGUC